UUAGCCGAGGGCUUUUGGCGACAAUUAACAGAAUUCCUGCUGAUAACUUUUUUUUGUCCUCUCCCUCAGAAUAUUUUUGUAGCGCACUCUAAGUGGCUACAGAGCGGCGCUGGAGGUGGGUGGUUACAAAUAUUUGAUGAGCGUGUCGCGGAAUGGCUUUCAUUUCUCUUUAAAGUAUGCUUAAAAAAAAAAAAUGCACAAAGCCCCCAAAACUCCAUCUCUUUGGUAUUCCGAUUGGUGAUCGGAGCAACACAAAAACUGACUUUUGUUACCAGACAGUCAUACCCCAGAAGCAACCCAAUACUAACUUCUGUGCGUCGGCUCAGUGUGUGAGGUUGUUCUAAUUUCUGCCGUUCAAUUUAACCUCAGGAGACAACACAGCUGACAACAAACAGGAUUUUGUGAUGUUACUGAGAGCAGAACUUGGCAUGCAGCUAGUGAAGCAGUCUGUAAUCCCACUGGAUGAAAAUGUUCAACGAUCCAGGAAAGCCUAUUUCCUCCCUGGCUCCAGCCAGUGCCAAGGAGAGGAGAGGUCCCGAAGAGAAAUGUGCCCCCUUGUUGGCCCCCCRAGACUCUCACUCUCUGUUCUGAUUUCUUUUGAUAGGUUGAGGUUUUCUGAGCAUUUAUUUUGGUGAAUUGAUACUUCAAAUGGAUGUGAAUGAUCUGUGGUAAG
rnacentral:lncRNA from 1 species